AUCUAGCUGACGAGUCCCAAAUGGGAUGAAACGCGCAUCAUGUAU
rfam:Schistosoma rodhaini strain Burundi genome assembly, scaffold: SROB_scaffold0000159